rnacentral:rRNA from 1 species
AAAAUCCGUUGUAUGAUCCGAAGACGUGAUGUGGAGCGAAAUAAAGUAGUGAAGCGUGUGAGCCAUGUGCCGAGAAAAGCUGCUAUUGUGUAAUGCGUGCCCGUACCGUAAACCGACACAGGUGGAUGAGGAGAGAAUCCUAAGGCCGACGGAAGAAGCAUUGUUAAGGAAUUCGGCAAAAUGACCCCGUAACUUCGGGAGAAGGGGUGCCUGCGAGAGCAGGCCGCAGAGAAUAGGCUCAAGCAACUGUUUAGCAUAAACACAGGUCUAUGCGAAACCGAAAGGUGAAGUAUAUGGGCUGACGCCUGCCCGGUGCUGGAAGGUUAAGAGGAGAGGUUAGCGUAAGCGAAGCUUUGAAUUUAAGCCCCAGUAAACGGCGGCCGUAACAAUAGCGGUCCUAAGGUAGUGAAAUUCCUUGUCGGGUAAGUUCCGACCCGCACGAAAGGCGUAAUGAUUUGAGCACUGUCUCGACAAUGCAUCCGGUGAAAUUGAAGUACCAGUGAAGAUGCUGGUUACCCGCGCCAGGACGGAAAGACCCCAUGGAGCUUUACUCCAGUUUGAUACUGGGAUUCGGUACUGCAUGUACAGGAUAGGUGGGAGACGGAGAAGGAUGGACGCCAGUCUGUCCGGAGUCGCUGUUGGGAUACCACCCCUGUAGUACUGGGUUUCUAACCAGUUACCAUGAUCUGGUAAUGGGACAAUGUCAGGCGGGGAGUUUGACUGGGGCGGUCGCCUCCGAAAGGGUAUCGGAGGCGCUCAAAGGUUCCCUCAGAAUGGUUGGAAACCAUUUGAAGAGUGCAAAGGCAGAAGGGAGCUUGACUGCGACACCGACGGGUGGAGCAGGUACGAAAGUAGGACUUAGUGAUCCGGUGGUAUAAAGUGGGAUUGCCUUCGCUCAACGGAUAAAAGCUACCCUGGGAUAACAGGCUUAUCACUCCCAAGAGUUCACAUCGACGGAGUGGUUUGGCACCUCGAUGUCGGCUCAUCGCAUCCUGGGGCUGUAGCAGGUCCCAAGGGUUGGGCUGUUCGCCCAUUAAAGCGGUACGCGAGCUGGUUUCAGAACGUCGUGAGACAGUUCGGUCCCUAUCCGGCGCGGGCGGAGGAUAUUUGAGAGGAGCUGUCCUUAGUACGAGAGGACCGGGAUGGACGGACCACUGGUGUAUCUGUUGUCGACCAACGGCAUGGCAGAGUAGCCAAGUCUGGAAGGGAUAAACGCUGAAGGCAUCUAAGCGUGAAGCCCCCCUCAAGAUGAGAUAUCCCUCCUUCGGGAGUAAGACCCCUUGAAGACUACAAGGUAGAUAGGGCAGAGGUGGAAGCAUGGCAACAUGUGGAGCUGACUGUUACUAAUAGGUCGAGGGCUUAGUAA